rnacentral:lncRNA from 1 species
UAUCAAGUUUAUUAUCUGAGAGUGGCACAAAAUAGUUAAUAACCAAUGUUAUACCUAUCACACCCUUUUGAGAGACUUGAUACUUGGUCUUGUACAAAUUAACAACUGCUGCAUGAGCUAGAAGUUGAUAAUGUGCAACUAAAUAAGGUUCAGUUCCAGAAUCACCGCCGGUGCAAUUUGGAUUCAACCAAGAAGAGCAUCGACCAGGUGCCAUUUCACCAUUUGCAUACCCAUCUUGACUGUAAGUCCAUGGUUCAUUCAAAGUUAUCCAAUGUUUUACUCUAUCUCCAAAUGUUUUGAAGCAAAGUUCCGCAUAGUCUUGAAAGUCUUUUCUGUACGUAGUUGAAGAUAUAUAAUGAUGAAUGAGAAACUUUUUCAUAACUAUUUAAACUAAUUAAGUGAAAAUUUGAAAUUGUAUCACUCACAUGAUGAGAGGACUUAAGAAACCGCCAUAUUCAUCUUCUAGAGUUUGAGGAAGAUCCCAAUGAAAAAGAGUUACAAAUGGUUGUAAACCUGUGACAUGAGAUGGCUAUAUUAGAAUAUGCUAAAAUGCAAAGCAUAAACGAAAAUGAAGUUUGUAUUCUUACCAUUUGCCACCAACUCAUUGAUGAGGUUGUUGUAAUAGUCGAUUCCUUCUUGAUUAAUUCCUCCACUUAGUUUCCCAUCUGGGAGUAUUCUAGACCAAGAUAUGGAAAAUCUGUAUGCAUCCAAGUUCAUAUCCUUCAUGAUACCAACAUCUUCCUUAUAUCGAUGAUACGAGUCAACCGCAACGUCUCCAUUGUUUCCAUCACUGAUUUUUUGAGGAUAUCUAUGAGUGAAUGUAUCCCAAAUACUUGGUCCUCUUCCACCUUCACUUGCUGCACCUUCAUAUUGAUAUGCAGAAGAUGCUGUGCCAAAUAUAAAGCCUUCUGGGAAAUCAUUUCUAUUCAAAGUACCUAUUUGAGGUGUAGUUUUAAUUAUUUCUUGACCAUGUGUGAAAGUAAUUAUGAAUGUUGGCAACAAGAGAGAAAAUAGGAAAUAUCUCAUGCUUAAUGAAUUUGUUUCAGUGAAUUAGUUGAUGAUGAUGACAAAAACAAAGGUGUGGUUUUAUGUAAGAAUAAGAAAGAAAGAAAGAAAGAAAGCAAGAAAGAAAGAAAGAAAGAAUGAAUGAAUUUGUUGUGGGCUAUGAAAGUGUGUGGUUUCUAUUUAUAUAAGAAAAAGAAAUAAAGAAUUUUGGUGGGUAGUGGCAGCUUCAGUGUAACUGCCACCUUUAUUUUUCUAGUCAAAUUAUCAUAGUCAAUUAAUGCGACGGCUGCUGUUGCUCUAUGAGUCACUAACCAAUGAGGUACUGUUCUACGUACUCCUUUCAAUCAUCUGUAGCUCUUUUUCUUCAUUGAAUGAUUACAAAAAUAUCAUGACAUCUCAGCAGCUAAAUAAAUUUUGUUGAGAGAUGAUAAACCUGUCAAGAAGUGUAUUGAAUCACACAAUUAGUAAUCUGAUAAAUUAAAAUUAUGUAUCCAAUGUAAUUAAUAAAUUUUCGGUAUGAAUUGUAUUUAGAACAUAAAAUGGAGGAAUCUAUUGAAAUAGAGAAAGACUAGAAUAAAGGUAAUCAAGAUAUUGUUUCCCCAUGGAAUUUUGUAUGACAACUCUCGUCUUUUCUUGGGAGGUUGUGGGUAAGAUGAAUAUGUUGACCAUUUAUUUUGUUUUUGUUGUGACAAGUUUGGUAUUAGAAUAUUAAUCAAUAACUAUCUUGUAACAAAGUUAGUUAAGUUUGUUUCAAAAUUUGUUAGUUAGAUAGAUUGUUCUACAAGCAAGUGAUAUUGUGCCUAUAAAAGGCUUUGUAUUGUGAAACUUCAAGUCUUAAUGAGAUUACAGAAUUCAUAGCAACUAUUCUAUUCUUCUCUCGUCCAUUUUUCUGUUCUAUUUUGCUAUUUCUCUCAUCUUGCUAAAACAGCUUAUCUGCAUGAGCACUUCUGUUGCGCAUAAGAACAUAGUCAAUGUUCUAACAAUUGGUAUAGAGAGCCUGGGUUAAAUUCAAGGGAAACACGAGUGAAGUGUGAGGGGAAUCAUCAUUGGGAAACACUGAGUAAGGUGUGAGCAUUGAUUUCUUAGAAAGCAAGAUGAAUAGCAAUGGUUUUGGAACAAACAUUCUGAUUCUUGAUUGAUGGGAAGAACUGGGAAAGUUGGAGUGCAUUGAUGAAGUUGUUAUUUGGAGCACAAGAUGCUCUUGAAUUGGUGGAGAAUGGGUAUGAAGAUCUUGCUGCAUAUGCUACAUAUGUGCAGAGAGCAUCUUUCAAAAGAACAUAAAAGAAGAAAGAUUGCAAGGCAUUGAUUUACAUUCAACAUAAUGUUGAUAAUCAAAAUUUUGAGAAGAUUUCAAAGGCAACAAGAUCCAAAGAAGCUUGGGAUAUACUGGAGAAUUAUCAUAAUGGGGGAGAAAAAAUGAAACAAGUCAUGUUGCUGUCAUAUAGAAGAAAGUAUAUGAGAUGAUGCAAAUGGAGGAAGAUCAAAAAGUAAGUGAUUAUUUCUCCAAGAUGAUUGAGAUUGUGAAUUUAAUGAAGAAUUUUGGUGAAAACAUCUCAGAUCAUAUAGUAGUUGAGAAAGUCUUGAGAUUCUUAAGUCAAAAAUUUGAUUUCAUAGUAGUAGCAGAUCAAUAAGCAAAGGAUGUGAAAACUAUGAAGAUUGAAGAAUUGCAGAGUUCCCCUGAAGGACAUGAGCUACUGGUGAUUGAUAGAGGUUCAGAAAUAUCAUUUCAACAAGCUCUUCAGGCUCAAACAACCAAGAAAAAGGGAAAUUACAAGAAUUUCAAGAAGAAAGGAAAGGGUAAAACAAACUGGUCAAACAAUGGGAAAUCCAAAACUGAGGACAAACCUGAAUCUUCUAAAAGAUGAGGUUUUGUUAAAAAUCAUAACAAGAAGAAGGAUUUUGACAAAAUCAAGAUUUAGUGCUACAAUUGUGAGAAGACAGUUUGCUAAUGAGUGUUGGUUCAAGAAGGAUCAAAAGACAGAAGAAGCAAUUAUUGCUCAUGGAGGUGAUCCUGAUGCAAUUUCGAUGAUGGCUGCUACUUGAAAAGACAAGAUUAAUGUGAAGAGUGGUAUAUUGAUUCUGGAUUUUCUAAUCGCAUGACAUAUCAUAGAGAGUGGUUAACAAAAUUUGAUGCUAGCAUGAAAACUAGUAUUAAGGUAGUUGAUAGCAGAAACUUGCAUCAGAAGGAAGUGGAAAUAUAGUGAUUAAAAACAAUUUUGGUGGAAAAAUCAUUAUUGAAGAUGUGUUCUAUGUUCCAAAUAUGAAGUGUAAUUUGAUGAGCACAGUUCAAUGAGUGGACAAGGGGUUCUCAGUAAAAAUGGAUGGUGAUUCAUUGAAAUUGUUUGAUGCAAAGAACAAUUUGGUGCUAAAAUAUGCUUUGUCCAAUAAUAGAAUCUAUAGAUGCAUCAUAUCAAUUGAUAGAUAUGAUGUGUAUGUCUGCAACAAUCAAUGAAGAUGCUGAAGCUUUAUAGCAUCUAAGGUAUGGCCACUUGAACUUAAGAAGUCUUGGUGAAUUGAACUCUAAAGAACCGGUGCAUAGUUUACCAAAGUUGAAUAUCAUAAAGUCUAUUUGUGAAAUUUGUGUGAGAAGCAAGCAAACUAGAAUGCCGUUUGUGUUUGAGGCACCUAAAAGACAAGUGCAGCAUUAGAAGUCAUUCAUUCUGAUAUCUAAGAAUUACAAGUCAUUCAUUCUGAUUUCUAAGGCCUUUUUGAAGUAGCUUCUCUAGGUGGUAGUAAGUACUUCAUUACCUUUGUUGAUGAAUUUACAAAAAUGAUUUGUUGUAUACUAUAAAGAUUAAGAGUGAAGCUUUAGAUAUAUUCAGAAAAUUCAAAGUCUUAGUGGAGAUGGAAAGUGACAAAUCCAUUAAGAUUUUGAGAACAGAUGGUGGAGGUGGGUAUAAAUCUAAGGAUUUUGAAGCUUUCUGCAUAAGUCAAGGAGUUGUUCAUGAAGUAACAGCUCCAUAUACACCUCAACAUAAUGGACUUGCAGAAAGAAGGAAUAGAACUUUGCUAAAUAUGGCCAGAAGCAUGAUUAAGCAGAAGAACCUGCCACACAAGUUUUGGGGUUAAGCAGUCACCACAGCUACAUAUAUUCUAAAAAAUGUUCCACUAAGAAGUUAAAUUUGAAGGUACCAUAAGAAGCUUGGUGUGGAAGGAAGCCUAGUGUGAAGCUUUGGCUCCUUGUGCUAUAAGCAUGUACCAGAUGCAAGAAGGAGCAAGCUUUAAGAUAAAAGUGAGAUUAUGAUACUCAUAGGGUAUCAUCCAACUGGUGCAUACAAAAUCUAUAACUCUGUUACUCAGAAGGUUCAUAUUAGUAUGGAUGUGAUGGUGAAUGAAACUGAGAAACGGAAAUGGAAAGUGAACAUGAGUAUAGCCGUGAGAUCAAACAAAGCUAUAUAUCCUGAUUCAAGUGAUGAAUCAGAAGGUGAAGAGGAUCAUGAGGUUGUUGAAAAUGAUCCAGAAGAAAUUAUAGCACCAACAAGGCCACAAAGAAAUAGACAAACACCUAUUAGACUGAAUGAUUGUGAGAUCAUUCCUGAUAAUGCAGUGAAUGAUAAAGGUGAUCUCAUUCACUUUGCAUUGCUAGCAGGCUCUGAACCAAUCAACUACAAAGAAGCACUAAAAAUUGAUGUAUGGAAAGAGCUAUGAUAGAGGAACUGCAAUCAAUUGAGAAAAAUCAAACCUAGGAACUAGUUAACUUGGCACACAAGAAAAAGAAGAUUGAUGUGAAACGGGUAUUCAAAGUGAAGUUGAACCCUGAUGGACAAGUUUCUAAGCAUAAAGCAAAGCUAGUUGCUAGAGGUUUUCUGCAAAAGCAUGACAUUGACUAUAAUGAGGUGUUUGCUCCAGUGGCUAGAAUUGAAAAAAGUGACGUUAGUAGUUGCUAUUGCAUGCAAGAAUGAGUGGUCACUCUACCAUUUAGAUUGUAAAAUAAUCACGACACCUUAGCAACACAAUAAAUUCCUUUUAAAAUGUUAAUAUUAAUUUAUUUAUUUUUGGUACAAAAAUGUUAAUAUUAAUUUGUUAACAAUUUUAUUCCUUUUGCUAUAUAGAGUUAUUGUUAUCUAUUAUUUAUAUAUAUAUAUAUAUAUAUAUAUAUAUAUAUAUAUAUAUAUAUAUAUAAAACAUGAGAAUAGGGACGAGCAAUUUAAUGGCUUUUUCAUAAUGUAUUUUUUGCAAUUUUUGUUGAUGAAAUAUAUUUUACAAUAUUGAUAUAUCCUUACAAAUUCCCAUUUAAUUUAAUUCCAUAUCCACCGGUAUAGGCAGUAACUCGUUAUUUUCUGCUCCAAAAAAAGAAAAGAGGAGGAAUCUAUUGAGACAUGAAUAAAGGUAAUCAAUAUAUUACUGGAGAAAGAGGCUAUGAUGUUCGGCGCGAAAAUAAGUAAAGUAUGGUUAAGGAUUGUUUAACUCAUAAAUUAAAUUCAUGUUAUACAAAAUAAUUCGUCUUUGGUGAAACUAAUUAACAAGUUGAGUCCAAUUGCUUGGUUAAAUAUUUAGCAUUUCCACUAAACUAACAAAACACUUGUGAUUUAUAUUAUUUCAUAUUUAUAUAUAUUUAACAUUUAAAAAAUUUAUCUUUAUAAAAAACAUUUAAAAGUUUUAGAAUAUUUUACAUAAUAUUUACAAGUGAUAAUAUUAAAAUAUUGUAAAAAAUGCAUUUUUUAAUUUAUCAUAUACAACUUCGAACAUAUAUUAUCGCAGUGAGUUUAAUACUAGAUUACUUUUUUUAGUGCAUGUAAUUUUUUGAACAUAAAUUAUAGUUAUCAGUGAAAAUUUAAAAUUUGAAUCUUAGAUGAAGGUAAAUGUAAAUGUUUUUUGAGUUCGAAGGAAUAUUGUAUCAUGAAAGGUGACAUCAUCCCCUCACCCGGUCUAUUUUUUUAGUUAAAAAAGAAAAAAUCAUCCUAUUUUUAUUUUAUUUUUUUGUCGAAAAAGUAAGAUCAUCCGUGAGUAAAAUGUUGAACUUAUUACCUUAAAAAAAUAGAAAACGUGGAAUUAGAUUACUAAUGUUAAGAUAACUUAAUAAGUAUAUGAUGAAGAUUCAUGCACAAACCACACUUUUGAAGAAAGGGAUGGGGUAUACGUUGCUUUUCAAUUUUUUAACUCUUAUUUAUUUAUAAUUACCCCAUGUUUUAAGCGUUAAAGCUCAUCGAUCAUAGAACUGAUGAAUAAACCUGCAACUUGUUUAAUUAAUUAAUCAGCCAAUAUUUUUUAUUGGUCUUAUGGUCUACACGUUAUCGUCCCAUCAAAAUAAUAAAGUAAGUAAAAGUAGGUUGUGAUGUUUGUCUUUUUUUUUUUUUAUCGGUUUCCAACUUACCAAAGGUGAACAACUGAUAUAAUUUAUCUAUAGAGACAUUGUUCUUCCUAAAAAUCGAAUACGGUAUUCCUCAAAUACAUCCUUAAAUUAAGCUCCUUUCUCCUGGAGCCAAAUCAUCUUAGUUAGGUGGUGUUUGUCUUUGUCAAACCAAGAUGACCGUGGCAUGCACGUAAAAGGAAGCAUUAUAUUCCUGCACGUGAUAGAUAUCUAUCAUUAAAGUUGAACGGUCAAUAUAUCUUCUUGUCAAAAAAUAGAUCUAUGAGUUUUUUUUUUUUUUUUUCAAAUAGUCUAGUGGUUAGAGCUCACACAAUUUAAUUAUGUAUAAGUGGGGUGUCUGGAAUUUGAACUCUGAUCCCUGCAUAUAAUAUGUAAUAUCCCUACCAACUGAACUAAGCUCACAGGAUACAGAUGUAUGAUUUUAAUCCUCAUGGAAUGCGUUGAAUGUAAUAGUACAUUAGUAAUAUUAAUAUCAGGGAAGUAGGGAACCAACCUUCGGUUGUGACUUUUCAAUCACAUUAGUCAUUCUUAUGUGAUUAACGCACUAUCUUUUCCUCUUAAAAAAGCACUAUCUUAUUUUUAUGAAAAAAAUAAACAAAUUAGUGGAGAACAACAAUAUAUUGUUCACUUGUCAAAAAAACAAUAUAUUGUUCAAGUGAUUAAAAAUUGCAUCCCUUUACGUUUGUGAUUAGAGGUUCGGUUUCAAACUCAUGCGUAUAAAAAGAAUAUCGUUGUGAGGAGAGAACUUGUCUUGUGUGUUCCAGAUAUUUAUCGAUCAAGAUUAAUCACUGUUAAACGGAGGUAAAAAUCUCUCGUACCAAAAUUAUGGUAACAAAAUAAUAUUGUCGAGGAUACCCUUCACGGUAUUAGUUACACCUUGAACCUCAACAGUAUUUAUAAUAGAGUGAGAUUUCAUGAAUCAUUAAUGAAAUUUACGUAGUUUAUAGCAGUUAAUUAUAGAGAGUGAGAUUUCAUAUAUUAGUUGUUGUAGCAAACCAAGUUAAAUAAAAGCAUAUUGAUUGGUUGAGAUUAUCUUAUCCAUAGCACAAGUCAACCUACUUGCCAAAACUUUCACAACCACCUUGUUGAGAGACCUUAGAAGCGAGAUGAGGUGAAAAUCUCCCAAGUGAAGUGAAGAGUCCACCUUAGGAAUGAGCAAAAUAGAACGAAAAACUCUGCAUUAGGCUAGAAUUAGAGAAAAACUGCUUAAACAUAAUCCCGUAGGGGACCCUCUGGCACCGUUCCUUUUUCUCCUCGUCGUGGAAGGGUUUAGCGCGUCCAUAAAAUCAUUACAAAAUAUCCCAUAAACCAUAGGAAAUUGUUCUAGAACUCCUUUAAUUUGAGUCAAAUCAUAACUAAAAUGAAUAAAAAAAAUAUGCUGAAAAUAACGUAAGAUGACUUGUCAUUAGAGCUCAUACCUUGAAUAUAAAUUUUUUUGUUACCAUGAUAAUCUUUUAAGAGGAGCAAUUUUAUUUACAUUUUCCUUGUUGUAGCAUAUGCAUGAAAAUAUUCGGUGUUAUGGUCUCCGUCUUUAUAUCAAUGUGCCUUAGCUCUUUGACGCCAAUAUGCAUCUUAUUGCAUAAGCAACCUAUUCACGUAUUUCCCAACGGGAAGCAUCUGAGUCUGAUUAUCACCAGAAUUAAUAUUACGAGCAUUGUUCAAUUGACGACUACACUCCUUAAUAUCAAGUUUCAACUUAUUAAAAUGAUCUAUGCUCUAAGAGUACAUGUCUUCAUCACACCAACUCAAUCUUGGAAGCAUCGAGUGAUUGGUAUACAUAUUCCAACUAUCCUUGACCAUGUCAUCAAAUCCCAGUUCGAGUUUGCAAGAGUUUUCAAAUCAAGAAUUAUGCCUAGACAACUGAUGACGCACUACAUGAUUGUGAUCCAACACAAUGGGAUAGUGAUCCGACGCUGGGGCUACAAGUUUUCAACUUUUGCUUCCAUAAACAUAUUGAACCAAACAGAGUUAACUAGAGCAUGAUCCAUCUGUUCUUCAACAGCCCGGGGAGUCCCCAAGAUCUUAAACCAGGUAAAUGGAUACCCCUCCACGAGAACAUCAUAUAGCCCAUAAUCAAUAAUUGCUUGUUGAAAGUCAUUGAUCUACUAGUUCUGCCUCUUUUUUCACUAGCAUCCUUAAUAUCGUUGAAAUCCCCAAAGAUGCAUCACAGGCCAUUAAACUCACUAGAUAAUUGACGAGGAAAGUCCCAGGCAGCACGCCUAUGUCCCCCAUUGGGGUACCUGUAGUAGCAUGUGAGUCUCUAAGUACCACAGAGUAUCAUUAACCUAUAUAGUAAUAUGAUUGUGUGAGUAAUUAACAAUGUGACAAUUAAAAGAGGCACACCAAUAAAGAGCACGACUACCACCAAGAACAUAACGCAAAUCCUCAAUUUUAUUAGUGUGAACUAAUGUCUCACUUAGGAAGAGGACGUUUGUGUUAUAGUGUCGGACAAUGUACAUUAAAUCAGGAAUUGCGCUCAGGCUGCCUAAACCUUGGACUCAUUUUCCUCAGCAGGCCUGGUGCAUAGGUCAUGUAGUUAUAACUUGAUCAUCAUACAUAGGAUUGUUAGCAUACAUUACAACAUCCCCCCAACUCUAACAUCAACACCUAAAGGAUUAUUCCCCAUAUCUCCAUCAACAGUAGACUCAAAGACUUAGACUGAUUCUCUUCACUCUAGUCUUUAACAACAUUAAUGCACUGAUGCUUCUUCAGUUCAAUCCCCAAGGCAUCUGUUUCAACUUUCAACAUCAAUAGCAGCAAGAGAAUUAUUCCCACCCAUAUCAUUUUCAUUCGCGGCCAGCAACCCAAGAACAACUUGACGUGUUGCACACCAUUUGUAAGCAUAGGGGUAGUAGCAUAUGGAAGCAUAGACCCACUAGAGGAGGCAGCACCAAGCAAAUACUUACUUGGCCUCGUGAGAGUACUUAGUUAAGAAACAAGGAUACCUGUUUUGAUAGCACUAAUUUCACAGUGCACCGCAUUGAUACGACCAUCCAAAUUACCAUUGUGGAGGACCCAACAUUUGAUUUACCAGCACUUGCAACAUUAUGAACCGCACCAUUCAUAGUCCCUUCCCUCAGCCUCAUUGAAGGAAUAGGAUCUUGCAGCCACAUGUUGGUAGCAGUUGUCCCCAUACGCCUUGUCACAUGCUGCAACGCCUCUCCCCAUCUUCCUCUAUAUCAAAAAAAUUUGGACAACUUUUAUCCGUAUCACCCAUCAAUUCACAUAAGUAACAGAAAACUCCUAACUUCUCAUGCUUGAAAUGAAUAUCAGCAUAGCUGCCAUCAUUUGCUCACACCUGCCACUCCUGUUUCAAAGGAAUUGUGACAUAUGUAUGCACCUUCAGGCGCAUAUAAGAGCUAUGCACAAUGUUUCGGUGAUCAUACUCUUUCAUCUCUCCAACGAACUUACCAAUUCUGUUACCAACUCUUGGUUGAAUGAAACUGAAAGGCAGCUAAUGAACCUGAACCCAGAUGUCCAUGUGGUUCAAAUUCACGCUCGACAGAACGACACCAGGUGAGAUACGUUCAAUCACCAUGUUAAAAUUGUCGUAAAGCCAAGGGCCUUCAUCCAUAACUUUUCCAACAUCAAGGUGGUGAAUAAACAAUAAUAAGAAACGGUAUGCAUCUGCUUGAGUGAUGGAGACGCGUUUCACAGAGUUCCUGAUGGAGCCAAGACGCUCCUUAAAGUUGGCAAACCGAACCUUCUUAACAGUGAGCACCCUACCAAUAAGGCAAUGAUCAAUGAUUUGGAUACCAGCAAUUUCAAAUUCGAGAUUAAGAGUCAAUCCCUCAUCUGUCAAACUUAUAUUUAGUCUAGUAGUGGCAUAUUGUUAUCCUCAAAGGUUUUAGGUUGUAAGACGUUUCAAGAGGACUAUAAUAUUUUCAAUUUAGAGAUGCCUAAUGGUAUAUUCAAGUUUGACAUAAACAUACCCUAUUAGAUUUUUUUGUAAUCACAGGUUGGUUAAAAUGGGAAAAUUCUUCGGUGUGUGAAGGGACUAAGUCAUACAAAAUAAAAUUACAAGAAUCAUCAAAAAAGAUCAAUUAUAAUAAUAUAUUUACAUACAAUUACAAAUAGUAUUCUUCUUAUAAUUAAACAAUGAAAUAAUUAAAUGAAAUUAUUGUGUUUACAACAACAACUAUGGUGUUUAUAAGGAAUUUUGAAGCAAUGUUAGAUCGAUUCUCUAUAAAUUCUGGUGUCUAACGUGAGAAAAUUCUUGAACCACAAUCCUGAAAGCUUUUGAUAUCUUUUCAAACCAUCUUUGUAAUCUAUAAAAGUCAUUCCAAAUCUCACAGUAUAACCCCUAUGCCAUUCAAAAUUAUCCAACAGAGACCAUGCAAAGUAUCCCUUUACAUUUACACCAGCUCUGCAUUUCAUUGAAAGAAAUAAUAUCAUAUAGUUAAAUUCCAUGCAAAAAAUUAAAUAGACUAUGUCUUUAGAUUUUUCAAUAUAUUACUUACAUUAUUGCCUCUCUAAGAUAAAAGAGAUGACGGUAAUGAUAAUCGAUUCUAUAAAUAUCUAAAAGAGAUUCCUCAACUGAUAAUGACGGGUCGUCGUACUCAUUUAUACCUGCACAUCAUGAAAAUUUCAAUUGUCAUACAUAAUUUCAUUAUAUAAUGAAAAUAUGUUUCGAUAUGAUACAUGUGCGAUUUGCUUACCGUUUUCAGUAAUAUAAAUUAAAGGAUUGUUGUAUUUUUCUUUAGCGUAUAUCAAAAAGUCUCGAAUUCCUCUUGGAUAAACAUACAACCAUUCUGAAGCAACCUGAAAUUAAAUACACAUAACAAGUUUAUUAAUUACACAAUAACAGAAAACCAAAAAAAAAAGUAAGAUGUUGCAAUUUUUAAGGUAUAAACUUACAUUUAGACCAAUUGGUUUUCCAUCUCGUGCGACUGCAAUCACAAAAAUAUAAAAUAUACCAUCAUUUAAAUUUAUAAUACUACUUAAACAAUCAAUAAAUACAAGAUAGCAGUAAGCUAAAAGUGCUUACAUGAAAAACUAAUCAGAGAAUCUGUUAGGUAGCUAGAAUUUGCAUUGCUUAAUUGAGGUGCAUCAGAAACAUAGCAUGAAGAGUAGUAAUUUAUGCCAAUAAAAUCAAAUGAACCACUGACUUGCUUAGAUUGCUCUUUUGUAAACUUUGGUAACCUUGAUCUAACCAAGGCUCUCAUGGUUUUUGGAUAAUCUCCAUUGACCAAGGGAUCCAUAAACCUAUAAUUAUAUAUAGAAAUGGAAUAAGUUAUCAUAUAUAUAUAUAUAUAUAUAUGCUUGUGUUAAUUUGGGUGGUAUAAUUAUGUUAGCUUUAUGUUUGUACUUACCAUCCAAAUUGAAAGUCUGUAUUUCGUUCAGCAGCAUUUUUAUUUUGUUUGUUAUCUGAGAACGGCACAGACCAGUUAAUGAUCAAUGUUAUACCUAUCACACCCUUUUGAGAGACUUGAUAUUUAGUCUUGUACACAUUAACAGCUGCUGCAUGAGCUAGAAGUUGAUAAUGUGCAACUAAAUAAGGUUCGGUUCCAGAAUCUCCACCGGUGCAAUUUGGAUUAAACCAAGAAGAACAUCGACCUGGUGCCAUUGCGCCAUUUGCAUAUCCAUUUUGACUGUAACUCCAUGGCUCAUUCAAAGUUAUCCAAUGUUUUACUCUAUCUCCAAAUGU